rnacentral:rRNA from 1 species
CCUACGGGAGGCAGCAGUGAGGAAUAUUGGUCAAUGGGCGUAAGCCUGAACCAGCCAAGUCGCGUGAGGGAUGACGGUCCUAUGGAUCGUAAACCUCUUUUAUAAGGGAAUAAAGUGCGGCACGUGUGGCGUUUUGUAUGUACCCUAUGAAUAAGGAUCGGCUAACUCCGUGCCAGCAGCCGCGGUAAUACGGAGGAUCCGAGCGUUAUCCGGAUUUAUUGGGUUUAAAGGGUGCGCAGGCGGCCAUUUAAGUCAGCGGUGAAAGUCUGUGGCUCAACCAUGGAAGUGCCGUUGAAACUGGGGGGCUUGAGUGUGUUUGAGGCAGGCGGAAUGCGUGGUGUAGCGGUGAAAUGCUUAGAUAUCACGCAGAACCCCGAUUGCGAAGGCAGCCUACC